rnacentral:rRNA from 1 species
AAUAGAUACCCCGGUAGUCCACGCCGUAAACGGUGGGCACUAGGUGUGGGCGACAUUCCACGUCGUCCGUGCCGCAGCUAACGCAUUAAGUGCCCCGCCUGGGGAGUACGGCCGCAAGGCUAAAACUCAAAGGAAUUGACGGGGGCCUGCACAAGCGGCGGAGCAUGUGGCUUAAUUCGACGCAACGCGAAGAACCUUACCAAGGCUUGACAUACACCGGAAACGUCCAGAGAUGGGCGCCCCCUUGUGGUCGGUGUACAGGUGGUGCAUGGCUGUCGUCAGCUCGUGUCGUGAGAUGUUGGGUUAAGUCCCGCAACGAGCGCAACCCUUGUCCCGUGUUGCCAGCAGGCCCUUGUGGUGCUGGGGACUCACGGGAGACCGCCGGGGUCAACGUCGGAGGAAGGUGGGGACGACGGUCAAGUCAGUCAUGCCCCUUAUGUCUUGGGCUGCACACGUGCUACGAAUGGCCGGUACAAUGAGCUGCGAUACCGCGAGGUGAGCGAAUCUCAAAAAGCCGGUCUCAGUUCGGAUUGGGGUCUGC